CGCGCACCGCGCCCUCUCACGCACACUCACGCGCACACCCACGACGCCCAGCACCCUGCGCCCUGAGCCCUGCAGCGGGGACCGCAGCUCUGCGCUGCUGCGACCAGGCUGGGAGCUUGCAAAAGGAGCUGGCGUUUGUUUUCUAAGUCGAAAACAGAAGAGUUAUUCAGGAAAAAUGGAUGAGCCCUUCAUAUAAAGCCACAUACAUGCAGGAACCCUGUGAAGAAAAUGCCCAUUGCCUGGCUUCUGUACCCAGUGUUGGCCUACCAAUGAAGACACGGCUGGAAAAAG